rnacentral:rRNA from 1 species
GAUGAACGCUGGCGGCGUGCCUAAUACAUGCAAGUCGAGCGAACGGACGAGAAGCUUGCUUCUCUGAUGUUAGCGGCGGACGGGUGAGUAACACGUGGAUAACCUACCUAUAAGACUGGGAUAACUUCGGGAAACCGGAGCUAAUACCGGAUGAUAUUUUGAACCGCAUGGUUCAAAAGUGAAAGACGGUCUUGCUGUCACUUAUAGAUGGAUCCGCGCUGCAUUAGCUAGUUGGUAAGGUAAUGGCUUACCAAGGCAACGAUGCAUAGCCGACCUGAGAGGGUGAUCGGCCACACUGGAACUGAGACACGGUCCAGACUCCUACGGGAGGCAGCAGUAGGGAAUCUUCCGCAAUGGGCGAAAGCCUGACGGAGCAACGCCGCGUGAGUGAUGAAGGUCUUCGGAUCGUAAAACUUUGUUAUUAGGGAAGAACAUAUGUGUAAGUAACUGUGCACAUCUUGACGGUACCUAAUCAGAAAGCCACGGCUAACUACGUG